GACUUCCUGAGAGUCAGAAGAAUAUCCAAUCCUGCAUGUCUGAGACUUAUGCUAAGACACAUAAAGCACCCCUGGCUUUUAGACCGAUUGUCGAGGGGUGUGGGGCGCCGGCCUGCGGCCUGGGGGGGGCGGUGGCGUCCUGGAUUGGCUGUGAAGCCGGGGUUUGCCCCUGCACUGUAUCAUCUUCGGGGGCGUUGAUUGGGGGAGCAAGGUCUGUGGGCCUUCUAGGAAAUGAAAUAGUUUCCACCUAUGACUUUGAAAAAAUUUAUCACUCAGAUAUUUGGAACUCAUGGCACAUCAGUAAUUAUUGAUACAUAUUUUUAUGCAUAAAAUUUAUUAUUGAAUAUCUUAGUUAAAAAUUGCAAAUAUUACAUUAACU
rnacentral:lncRNA from 1 species